UAUCUCAAGCUUGGUCAUUUAGAGGUCGUGGUGAUUCAUAAUAACUUCUCGAAUCGCAUGGCCUUGCGCCGGCGAUGGUUCAUUCAAAUUUCUUCCCUAUCAACUUUCGAUGUUUGGGUAUUGGCCAAACUUGGUUGCUACGAGGAACGGAGGGUUAGGGCUCGACCCCGGAGAAGGAGCCUGAGAAACGGCUACUACAUCCAAGGAAGGCAGCAGGCGCGCAAAUUACCCAAUCCCGACUCGGGGAGGUAGUGACAAUAAAUACUGAUACAGGGCUCUUUUGGGUCUUGUAAUUGGAAUGAGUACAAUUUAAAUCCCUUAACGAGGAACAAUUGGAGGGCAAGUCUGGUGCCAGCAGCCGCGGUAAUUCCAGCUCCAAUAGCGUAUAUUAAAGUUGUUGUGGUUAAAAAGCUCGUAGUUGAACCUUGGGCCUGGCUGGCCGGUCCGCCUCACCGCGUGUACUGGUCCGGCCGGGCCUUUCCCUCUGUGGAACCCCAUGCCCCUUCA
rnacentral:rRNA from 1 species